UACGAGUGCUCCAAGCGUUAUCCGGAAUCAUUGGGCGUAAAGGGUGUGUAGGCGGUUGUGUUAGUCUUUUGUUAAAUUCUUCGGCUUAACCGGGGGCGUGCAAAGGAAACGGCACAACUAGAGGAUGCGAGAGGUGAAUGGAACUCAUGGAGUAGGGGUGAAAUCCGUUGAUAUCAUGGGGAACACCAAAUGCGAAGGCAAUUCACUGGCGCACUCCUGACGCUGAGACACGAAAGCGUAGGUAGCGAAUGGG
rnacentral:rRNA from 1 species